CGUUACCAGCAUUUCUGAAGGUGAGCCAAGCCCCGGUGCUGCAGCAGAGGCGAGCCAAAGGCAAAAGGAUGAAGCCGGCAUUGCAGCUGUAGUAGAGCACGGUCCCUUCCACCGGAGGCCCGGGAGGCUUCACCGUGACCCGGCCGUUCUCCAGAGACGUCCAUACCCGCGGACACUGCAGCAGACAUUUGCUUUCCUGCCCCAUGUCCGUCCAUGUGCCGUUGGGUAAACACUUCCUGACGUUGGGUCCAACGAUCACCCGGUUUGAUCUG